AGUAGAUUCUGUUGGAGAUGGGAGGAGAAAGGGAGGAAAGGGAGUAGAGAAGGCCACACACAAUCUUAAAUUCAAUAUUUCACUCCCGUUAAAGAUAAGCUGUUUAUAAGCUCCAGUGUAGGGCAUGUAAUUCUAUGUAAAAACUCUGUGGUUCCUCUUCCCACAUGUAAAUCAUGAUCACUCUACAUUCUGCUCUCUGGGAGCCCUCAAGGCAAAGAGACAACAAGACUCGAGACCACAGAAAGGACUUAUCACAAGUCUUUGUGGUAGCUGAGGAGUGCCCCCUACAGACUGAUAUGCACAAUGCAAGCAGAUGAAGAGGAAAGAACUGAGCAGCAGUAUUUCAGGAUUCUCAAUAAGGCAUCAAUGAAAAAAGGUCAAAACUGUGAUCCCUGCUACUUGGGAGGCUGAGACACAAGAAUUGCUUGAAUCCAGGAGGCGGAGGUUGCAGUGAACCAAGAUCAUGCCACUGAACUCCAGCCUGGGUGACAGAGCAAGAGUCUGUCUCAAAAAAAAAAAAAAGAAAAGAAAAAGAUAUUGCUUAGAAAAGUAACUUGAGUCCUGUUGAGCCUAAGUAAAGGACAAUAAUGGAAGUUUCUAGUCUGCAAAAUAUGAAGAUGCCCCUCAGAGACACAGCUGUGGGUGCCUCUCACAAGACAGAUGUUCAGGAAAACUGGGCUGUUGCUCUGGAAUUUUCAAUGAGUUAUUUUACUUGUUUUUGCCUCAGUUUACAGAAAAUAAACUGGCAACAAUAUCUCCUUGUUAUUGUGAGGAUAAAAUAAAAGGUGUGACAUUUCUAUUUUAAAUGUAUAAAAUGCCGAAAAAUUGGAGGCAACUGGAAGGUACAGUAGUGGAUGUGAGGUAGUAAGGGGGAAAAAAGGAUAUGUAAAUCACCUAAGAUGAAAUAGACAUUCAGAAGGCCGUAACGUGAAGUGUGAGUGACACUGAUUCGCUAAAAAUCCUAUAUAGUGUCUUAAAACAGCAGCAGUAACAACAACAAAGUUUAUUUGAGAGGAGGAAUUCUGGAAAAAAGCUUCUUUCAAAAAAAAAAAAAGAGUCUUCUAGUGCUCAGACAGUUCGUUCCUCUGCAAAGGCGGGUUACUCUGUUGGGGUCCAUUAUAGUUCUGAGGAUGAAUAGGACAGGACAAGGAGAUGGUUCCUGGCCCCUGUUCUCCUGCCACAGAUCUGUCCCACCUCCCAGGCUCCAUGCAUACAGUGACAGAGAUGGAAAGCCCAGAACCAGUCCCUUUAAUGCACUUAUUUGCAAAACAAGAUGUCACUAUGCAGCAGAGUGACAGUCCUUUCCCCUGGAACUGUCCCAGAGUUCUCCAAGCUGAAGCCAGGGCUACAUUCACCAUCUCAGACUCCUGCUGAGCUAAGUAACCACCCUCUCCUACCUUCUCUUCAGGAGCCCUGGCACCCUUGCUCUGGGGAGAGUUUGAAGAGCAACCUGAAAGUUCCCACAGUUUUUCCUCAAAUCUGGGUUUCCAUGAGCAUGGGCCACCAGUCGGGAGAGCCACAUGCCUGCCCUUGCCUGGCUCAAGACUGUCACUCUGUCAGAUUCAUAUCGCUCUCUGACCCUUAGCCUUCCAGUCUGGAUCUUGACCUUGAACUGGACUCUGUAGGAAGUUCUUAACAUUAAAGGAAGUUAUUUAUCUCUUUUCAACUAACCCAAGCACUUUCUAGCACCUUUUAGCAGUUUAAGCUCUAUGACUCCAUUGGAUAAAAUGCUGGGGAGCAGGACAUUGACACAGUCACAGAAUAUCACACACGGAAUCCUCAUUCAUUCCCCCAGGGAAACAGCACCUGUAGAAGACAAAUCUGGUAGACACUACUGUGACAGGUGAUUUUAUAUGUCAGCUUGACUAGGCCACAGGAUGUGUAGACAUUUGUCAAAUUUUUUUUUAUAUGUCUGUGAGGAUGUUUCUGGAUGAGAUUAACAUUGAAUCAGUAGACUGAGUAAAGAAGACCGCCCUCCCCAGUGGGGGUGUCCCUCAUCCAACCUGUGGAAGCCCUACAUAGAACAAAAAGGCUGAACCUCCCCCAAAAUACGGUGAUCUCAAGCUGCCUGACUUCUGGUGCUGGAACAUUGUUCUUUUUCUGCCUUCCGACUCAAACUGAAAAUCAGCUCAUCUUGUAUCCUGAGUCUGCUGGCUUCCAGACUGAACUAUACAUUGACUCUCCCAGGUUUCCAGCUUGCAACUGCUGGUCUUGGGACUUCUCAGCCUCCAUAAUCAUGCAUUAGCCAAUUUCUAUAUAGAUCUAGAAAUUCAUAUAUAUAUAUGUGUGUGUGUGUGUGUAUGUGUGUGUGUGUGUGUACGCAUAUAUAUACAGUCAUGAAUCACUGAGCAGUGGGCAUACCUUCUGAGAAAUGUGUCAUUAGGCACUGUUAUCAUUGUGUGAACAUCAUAGUGUACUUACACACACCUAGACGGUAUAGCCUACAACACACCUAGGCUAUAUAGUAUAACUUGUUGCUGGUAGAUUACAAACCUGUACAACCUGUUACUGUACUGAAUACUGUAGGCAAUUGUAAAACAAUGGUAAGUAUUUGUGUAUCUAAACAUAGCUAACCAUAGAAAAGGUACAGUAAAAAUACUGUAUAAGAGAUAAAACAUGGUGUGCCUGUAUAGGUUGCUUACCAUAAAUAAAGCUUGCAGGUUGGAAGUUACUCUGGGUGAGUCAGUGAGUAAAUGAUGAGUGAAUGUGAGGCCCUUGGACAUCACUGUACCCUACUGUAGACUUUAUAAACACUGUACACUUAGGUUACCCUAAAUCUAUUUUAAAAUUGUUUUCUUUCUUCAAUAAUAAAUUACCCUUAGCUUACUGU
rnacentral:lncRNA from 1 species